rnacentral:rRNA from 1 species
GACGAACGCUGGCGGCGUGCUUAACACAUGCAAGUCGAACGGAAAGGCCCUGCUUUUGUGGGGUGCUCGAGUGGCGAACGGGUGAGUAACACGUGAGUAACCUGCCCUUGACUUUGGGAUAACUUCAGGAAACUGGGGCUAAUACCGGAUAGGAGCUCCUGCUGCAUGGUGGUGGUUGGAAAGUUUCGGCGGUUGGGGAUGGACUCGCGGCUUAUCAGCUUGUUGGUGGGGUAGUGGCUUACCAAGGCUUUGACGGGUAGCCGGCCUGAGAGGGUGAACGGCCACAUUGGGACUGAGAUACGGACCAGAAUCCUACGGGAGGCAGCAGUGGGGAAUAUUGCACAAUGGGCGGAAGCCUGAUGCAGCAACGCCGCGUGCGGGAUGACGGCCUUCGGGUUGUAAACCGCUUUCGCAUGUGACGAAGCGUGAGUGACGGUAAUGGGUAAAGAAGCACCGGCUAACUACGUG